ACGUCUCUAAUAACUAAUGGAAUCUGUAUGGCUAAAGUCCUUUGCCUUUCCCAUUAGGGAUAAAUUGAAAAUAAAAAAAAAUAAGCAAUGGAAAAUGUACGAUUUAUUUACGAAUUUCUAUACAUUAUACAGGUUUAAAUAAUCUUUAUUAAUAUUUAGACGGAACUCCGGCAGAAAAAAUAACUUGGAGGUGUUCCAUUCAAGGUUGGGAAUGACACAGGGGGUAUUUCUCCAUCCCCUCUUCCAUCUCCCAUCAAAAAAACCUCAAAAAUCGACGGGUCAUAUUGGAAAGUUUAACC